GUUGAAGAACGUAGUGAAAUGCGAUAAGUAAUGUGAAUUGCAGAAUUCAGUGAAUCAUCGAAUCUUUGAACGCACCUUGCGCCCUUUGUCCAUUCCGAAGGGCAUGCCUGUUUGAGUAUCAUGAACACCUCAACUCUCAUGGCUCGCCAUGAUGAGCUUGGAUUUGGGGGUCUUGCUGGCCUGUGGUCGGCUCCUCUCAAAUGGAUCAGCUUGCCAGUGUUUGGUGGCAUCACAGGUGUGAUAACUAUCUGCGCUUGUGGUUUUCCAUCAGAUAACCUUCAGUGAUGGAGGUUCGCUGGAGCUCAUAAACGUCUCCCCUAAGCGGGGACAGCCCUUUGAAUGUUUGAUCUCAAAUCAGGUAGGACUACCCGCUGAACUUAAGCAUAUCAAUAAGCGGAGGA
rnacentral:misc_RNA from 1 species